UAGCUCAGUUGGUAGAGCAUGGUGAUUGCAAUGCCAGGGUUGUGGGUUCGAUUCCCAC
rnacentral:tRNA from 1 species